rnacentral:rRNA from 1 species
GAUGAACGCUAGCUACAGGCUUAACACAUGCAAGUCGCGGGGCAGCAUGGGGGUUGCUUGCAAUCCCCGAUGGCGACCGGCGCACGGGUGAGUAACGCGUAUCCAACCUGCCCCUCACCACGGGAUAACCCGGCGAAAGUCGGACUAAUACCGUAUGUUGUCCAUUGACGGCAUCCGAUUUGGACGAAAGGUUUGGCGGUGAAGGAUGGGGAUGCGUCCGAUUAGCUGGACGGCGGGGUAACGGCCCACCGUGGCUACGAUCGGUAGGGGUUCUGAGAGGAAGGUCCCCCACACUGGAACUGAGACACGGUCCAGACUCCUACGGGAGGCAGCAGUGAGGAAUAUUGGUCAAUGGGCGUAAGCCUGAACCAGCCAAGUAGCGUGCAGGACGACGGCCCUAUGGGUUGUAAACUGCUUUUAUGCGGGGAUAAAGUGGCCCACGUGUGGGUUUUUGCAGGUACCGCAUGAAUAAGGACCGGCUAAUUCCGUGCCAGCAGCCGCGGUAAUACGGAAGGUCCGGGCGUUAUCCGGAUUUAUUGGGUUUAAAGGGAGCGUAGGCCGCGCCUUAAGCGUGUUGUGAAAUCCGGGUGCUCAACAUCCGGCUUGCAGCGCGAACUGGGGCGCUUGAGUGCGCAGAAAGUAGGCGGAAUUCGUGGUGUAGCGGUGAAAUGCUUAGAUAUCACGAGGAACUCCGAUUGCGAAGGCAGCCUACUGUAGCGCUACUGACGCUGAUGCUCGAAAGCGUGGGUAUCGAACAGG